CGGAAGGCCAGACCUUCCCCAGCCGGGCGGGAGGCCCCGUCUGCACCCCUGCAAACACCGCCCCGCCGGCGUCUCCUCCCUCUUCCUCUCCUUGUCAGCCCUCUCUCCUUCUGAGACUCAUAUGUCUGCUUCCCCUGGAUUUCCCGGGCCGUCACCGUGGCAACCCUCCCGUCCCAAACCUGCCCUGAGGAAAAGGGCACCGCCUGGCAGGGCGAGGAGAUGCAUGGGAAAGAAAAACAGCCGAUAAACGCCGGCUUAUCUCAGACUUUCGGCCCGGGAGAAUUGGUUUCGUGCCUUUUGAAUCCUGCUCGUCCCUCCCCUUAGCCCUCACGUGGCAUGUAUUCUCCGCGUUACGGUCUCGAGUCUCGAGAGCGCCGGAUUAGCGAACGCACCGAAUUCCAAAUCGGGUUCGACCAACCGUGGAUCAAAAAAAAAAAAAAAAAAAA